rnacentral:rRNA from 1 species
UACAGAGGGUGCAAGCGUUAAUCGGAAUUACUGGGCGUAAAGCGUACGUAGGCGGUUAUCUAAGUCGGGUGUGAAAGCCCCGGGCUCAACCUGGGAAUUGCAUUCGAUACUGGAUAGCUAGAGUUCGGCAGAGGGAAGCGGAAUUUCCGGUGUAGCGGUGAAAUGCGUAGAUAUCGGAAGGAACAUCAGUGGCGAAAGCGGCUUCCUGGACCAGAACUGACGCUCAGGUACGAAAGCGUGGGGAGCAAACAGGAUUAGAAACCCCAGUAGUCC